rnacentral:rRNA from 1 species
CGGACGGGUGAGUAAUGUCUGGAACUGCCCGAUGGAGGGGGAUAAUACUGGAAACGGUAGCUAAUACCGCAUAACGUCGCAAGACCAAAGAGGGGGACCUUCGGGCCUCUUGCCAUCGGAUGUGCCCAGAUGGGAUUAGCUAGUAGGUGGGGUAACGGCUCACCUAGGCGACGAUCCCUAGCUGGUCUGAGAGGAUGACCAGCCACACUGGAACUGAGACACGGUCCAG